GACAGAGGGUGCAAACGUUGUUCGGAAUUACUGGGCGUAAGCGCGUGUAGGCUGCUCUGCAAGUCAGGUGUGAAAGCCCUGGGCUCAACCUAGGAAGUGCACUUGAAACUGCAGAGCUUGAAUGCUGGAGAGGGAAGCGGAAUUCUCGGUGUAGAGGUGAAAUUCGUAGAUAUCGAGAGGAACACCGGUGGCGAAGGCGGCUCCUGGACCGAGCACGUGAC
rnacentral:rRNA from 1 species